AUUGAACGCUGGCGGCAGGCUUUACACAUGCAAGUCGAACGAGUGGCGGACGGGUGAGUAAUGUAUGGGAAUCUGCCAUAUAGCGGGGGAUAACUACUCGAAAGAGUGGCUAAUACCGCGUACCAUUGGAUCGGCCCAAGUGGGAGUAGGUAGUUGGUGGGGUAAAGGCUCACCAAGGCAACGAGCUGUAGCUGGUUUGAGAGGAUGACCAGCCACACUGGGACUGAGACACGGCCCAGACUCCGACGGGAGGCAGCAGUGGGGAAUCUUCGACAAUGGACGAAAGUCUGACCGAGCAACGCCGCGUGAGUGAAGAAGGUCUUCGGGUCGUAAAGCUCUGUUGGUAGAGAAGCGGUAUCUAACCAGAAAGCAACGGCUAACUACGUGCCAGCAGCCGCGGUAAUAC
rnacentral:rRNA from 1 species